rnacentral:tRNA from 1 species
GCGCCCGUAGCUCACUUGGAUAGAGCGUAUGCCUCCGGAGCAUAAGGCAGUGGGUUCGAAUCCCGCCGGGCGCGCCA